UACGGAGGGAGCUAGCGUUGUUCGGAAUUACUGGGCGUAAAGCGCACGUAGGCGGCUUUGUAAGUUAGAGGUGAAAGCCCGGAGCUCAACUCCGGAACUGCCUUUAAGACUGCAUCGCUUGAAUCCAGGAGAGGUGAGUGGAAUUCCGAGUGUAGAGGUGAAAUUCGUAGAUAUUGGGAGGAACACCGGUGGCGAAGGCGGCCAUCUGGACGGGUACUGACGCUGAGACGCGAAAGCGCGGGUAGCAAACAGG
rnacentral:rRNA from 1 species